rnacentral:lncRNA from 1 species
CUGGUCUGGUUCAGCACAAUGGUCAAAGUCCAGGUUUCGUUCAGGAUUUGCCUUUUUUUGUGCUAUGGGAGUCAGCCUAGGUGGGGGUAGGGCAGGGGCAGAGAUAAUGGAAUACUUUUUGGGGGGACAUUCUACGCUUUGGUGGUGCAAUGGAUACAGAAAAAAAAAAAAAGAGUUCAAAUUCUGCUGCAGAUGCUUGCUUAAGCUGGACAAGCCACUGCCUCAGUUUCCUUUCCUGUAAAACAAAGGUGAUCAUAACAGUACAGGGCUAGUGGGAAGAUGUCUGCCUUGCAAAGGCUGGCUGUUAGGUGGCUAUCUUACUCCACCUUUCCUUACUUGGUCCGGGAUGCCUUCAGAUUCUGGUGGGGAGAGAGGCAGCAAAAGCUCCGAGUUCUUCCUCUGGAUGUGGAUAGUGCUCUUUCUCCCAAGUCCCUCAGGAUUGUUCUGGAUCACUGCAUUGCCACUAAUGGAGAAGUCCAUUACAUUCGACUGUGCUACAAUGUGUCCCGUCUCUGUGUACAAUGUUCUCCUGGUUCUGCUCCUCUCAUUCUGAUUCAGUUCCUGGAGGUCGUUCCAGUUCACAUGGAAUCCCUCCAGUUCAUCAUUCCUUUGAGCACAAUAGUAUUCCAUCACCACAGAUACCACAAUUUGCCCAGCCAUUCCCCAACUGAUGGGCAUCCCCUCAUUUUCCAAUUUUUGGCCACCACAAAGAGCGCAGCUAUGAAUAUUCUUGUACAAGUCUUUUACCAUAUGAUCUCUUUGGGGUACCAGCCCAGUAGUGCUAUGGCUGGAUCAAAGGGCAGACAGUCUUUUAGCACCCUUUGGGCAUAGUUCCAAAUUGCCUUCCAGAAUGGCUGGAUCAAUUUACAACUCCACCAGCAAACAGUAAAUAGUAAAACAGUGUGGGAGAGAUUAGGUUUGGAUCAACAUCUCACGCCCUACACCAGAUAAACUCAGAAUGGAUGAAUGACUUGAACAUUAAGAAGGAAAACUAUAAGUAAAUUAGGUGAACACAAAAUAGUAUACAUGUCACGCCUUUGGGAAGGGAAAGAUUUUAAAACCAAGAAAGAUUUAGAAAGAGUCACAAAAUGUAAAAUAAAUAAUUUUGACUACAUCA